rnacentral:rRNA from 1 species
GGGUAGCUAUGUAUGGACGGGAUAACCGCUGAAAGCAUCUAAGCGGGAAGCCUCCCUCAAGAUAAGUUAUCAUCGAGCCGUGGAAGACCACCACGUUGAUAGGCCAGGUGUAGAAGUGCGGUAACGCAUGGAGCUAACUGGUCCUAAUUGCUCUUUUCGCGCUUUA